AAUUUAAUUAGUAAAAGAUGAAAUCCUGGCCGUCCAUAGCCUUCAAUCUUGACCAUUUGAUCUUUCUUUUUUCCAGUUCAGAGUUGUGUUUGCACGUUUCGUUCGUUUGCCUCUCCACGGCUCCCUUCCGUUUUCGUUUCUUCUAAAGGCAUCGUCCGUUUCCUUUUCCUUCUGUUCUCUGUCGUUGUAUAUUUAGCAAUCACCGUUCACCAUUCCAAGCGUCACACAAUUGAGAGACCGAGAAAAAACAAGGGAGAAGAGAGAGCGAGAUCGCGAGGAAGAGAGAUAAAAAAUGGUGACCAGAGCGAAGGGGAGAAAUGGUUUCAGUCAACGAAUACAGCCCAAUUCUUCAAGCAACCGUCGCAUGUUUGGCGCUUCAGUUUUCCCCUAAAACUCUCCCUAAUUUCCAACAUGGACCAACAUCGCAUUUGAAGGAUUUCCGCUCUGCAUACCCUACCUGAUGUUAGGUUUUCAUUGCUGCAAUUUUGUUCUUUCCGGUUGCUUCCAUUGCAUCUCCAUUGACCACUUCGUGUUGUAAAUCGUUGAUGGUGAUUUGAAUAUGUUGUUUUGGAAGUUCCAACUUGAAGUUGUGCAAUGUUUAAAUGUGGGAUUGUCAAUAGUUGGUCUGAAUAUAUUGCUCUUUUUAUAUAGACUGAAUGUGAUUUCAAUAACUUUUAUUCUUGGCAGAUUUGCUGCUUCACUAACCUGUAAAGAUAUUCUGUCUGCAAUCACAUCGCAUUCAUUUGCUGCUUCAGUAUUCUGUAAAUGCUUCUCCUGGAUUUUUCUGAUUGCAUUGUUUUGGAUUCUGUAUGAUUUUACAUGCUUGGAAGAACAAGUAGUCAAUUAAGGUGUUGAAUCUUAUCUUGGAGUCUUCAAUUGAUACCAUAUUUUUCAACAGUGAUGCCAUUAGAGUAAAUGAAACUCCUAUACUUUAUCCUUUUUUCCUCAUUAUGCUUGCACGUGCUCUUGACUUGAUUUAUGCCAUGAUUCCUAAAUUCGUUAAUCUGCUCUCAUAAAAUGUUACUAUACAACAUACAAUAAGGUCUUAGUAGAGAGUGGAAUAUGGAGGAACGUGCUACCAUGGAUUUUAUGAUUCGUUUCACUACCAAGAAUGGUUAUUUAUUUUCAAGUUAGAGGGAAGAAAAAUAGGAAUCACAUAGCAAUGUUGGAUUUUUAUUUUGGUUUUGACAUUCAUAUUAAGCAUAUGCAUGAUGCAUCUGAAUUCUAACAUAGUGAUAGAGCUAAUGAAUGAAAGAUUAAGAAGUACAUCAUAGUAGCUUCUUGGGUUUAAUUGAAUAUGUUUUGUUUAUUUUUAUUUUCACAAUUCCAAGGAUCAAGUCUCAAAUCUAAAUGCUAACCUGACAGUUGCAAAGUUUUAGAUUCUAUGAUUCUGCAUGCUUGGUAGAAUGAGUAGGAAAUUAAGGUGGUGAAUCUUAUAUUGGAGUCUUAAAUUGAUAUCACAGUUAGCCAAAUUUUCAACAGUGUGAUUCGAGUGUAUCAUCUUAUGUACCAAAAAAAAAGUGUAUCAUCUAAUCCAAACCAAAGACAGAUGUUCUCAGGAACGAAAAAAGUAGGAGUAACGAAGAAGAUAAAUGGGAGUGAAUAUGAGAAUUCUUACUGAAUGUACAAGUUGCAGCGUUGUUGUCUCCCGCCAAGGUAUGAAUCAUCCUUCUUUUUACUUUUUUUCACCUUUGCUAUUUAUUUCCUCUUUCACUCCCAUUCCAUGUUAUGUUCUUUUCUUUUUUUGCCUUAUUUGAAGUUUUGUUUUUCAGCCUAUGCAUUCCCAAGACUAUUCACAGAUACAAUGAUUAUAUAUAAGGAUGUUGGUUUUUCUAUUUACUGAUUAUAUGAAUAAGAAUUAUGUGAGCAGAGAGAGAAAACUGGGACAAAAAAAAUGCUAAAGUGAGUGAUUUUAGACUGCAAGAACUUCAAUCUUCCCACAACAAGAAAGCAAAGUGCUCAGCCAACAGAGGCAGCAAUGAAGUGAAGGACAAGAAAGGGCAUGUGAAGGUGAUUUCUCUCUGGCCGCUAAAAUAGAUUAUCUGAAGGGAUUUCUAGCUGCACUGGAUCUUCUCCUUUCGGUAUCGUUCUAGAAGCAACAUUUUUCCAUUUAAGAAAUUCUAUGGAGAUGUCAUUUGUGCUUCAUAAGGAUUGGAUUUUCCCAAGCAAGUACUGAUCACAAAUCUUCUGAGGAGGUAAACUACACAUGCAAUGACCAUUUGAUAUACAUAUGUGCUAAGUUACCUAUUUCACGCCUUCAUUUUCAAUUGUAGCAUGUACUGUGUUGGAGUUUGUUAGUCAAAGUUGUGAAUUAUUUUUCUUUCUAAUACUGCCAGUGAUUAAAUACAAAACUGAUUAGAAAAUCUGAGGAUUCCAGCAGACCAAAAAAUAGAAUAGACUCUCAGUAUCCCUUAAUCUAGAUAAUUAUAACUCUUCUAUCUAUGUAAUCAAUUAGACCUAGCAUAACAUGACGCAGACUUGAGAGAUUCAACAUUAGAGUUUUGAAAUCUAUUUCAAAAUUAUAAGUAUAUUGUCUAAAAUAUAUAGAUAAUUUAUAGGAGAAAAUUAAAAAAAAUAAGAAAUUGAAGAACGGAAAAGGGAGAUACUCUUGAAUAAGAGGAACAAGAACCUCAUUGUAUAAACACCCAAAGAAGAGUGAUUUUGUUGAAAUCCAUAAAAGAGUCCAAUGGAAUACUUGAGGAUCAAAUAAGAAAUUAGAAAUAGAGAAGUUCAAAUUUAUGUACAAAACCUGAAUUGAAAGAGGCUCAUCACGAGGUUUUGGCAUUAAAAGUGGAACUGAAUAAGAUGGUUGACCAGAAAACCAACCCUUCUUUGUCGUUUUUAAUUCUCAGCAAGGUUCUUAAGAGAUUAAUAGUAUAUAUUAAUUGUCCUUGGUCAAAACUACUAACAUGAAACUUUGGAGUUCCACGUUUUGUCAAUUACUGGGAUAUCAGGUUUAUGUCAUUGAGCUUAUUGGAAUGAGUUUGGUGCUUUUUGGUUUAAAAAAACUACAUACAUAUAUAGCAAGAGAAUGAUAAUAUCAUGAGUGAUUUGAUAGGCUCAGUCUCUCUCAAGUUUCAGAUGUAAGUGUCACUUGCAGAAGUUUGUUAUUUUUUCCUCAUAACUGUGGUAAAGUGUAUUAUUUCUGAUAGCAACUUCAAUCAAGUUGUGAUCAAAUAUGGAUAAAACAUGUUUGGUUGUGGAAAAUUGAUUGAAAUCAAUGUUAGAGUUUUCUAUCACAAAGAUUAUGGUAAGAAUGAUAAAUCGAUGCCUUUUAAUUUUCAUUUUAGUUUUCUUAGACGUUAGCAUUUUAGUUUUUUUAGCUCAAUCAGACUUUGAUACAAAAAGCCAUAUCAUUCGUCGAUUGCAAUUGGGGAAAGUAAAAUUUGCUCAAUCAGACUCUAAUCCCUCACAAAUAAAGAACUGUGACGGACACUUGCAGCGGAUUUAUUGUGAUAUUUAAGACUUAUAUGGCCCCCUUAUGGAAGUCUUGAUUUGAAGAGCUCUCCAAUCUGCACGUGAUUAAGAGGUUGAGCGAUUAAACAUAGAUAAAUGGAAUGGAAAAAUUGGACGCGUGGUUGUGUGAGUAGUGCAGCACCACAGCGUGAGUGUGUGAGAAAGAGGAGCUAAAAUUGCAAGGGAGAUGGGUUCUUAAAAUUGCUGAACACAGACUUAGUGCUUGAAUGGUUGUUCUUGCACAGCUUAUGAACUUGAUGAUGGAUUAGCAUAUAGCAACUUGAACUAUUCGUUUUAGUCCAUGACUCCAUGGUGUAUUUAUGUUUGCUUAAGAUAUACUUCUGUAUUUAUCAAAUUUUUUUACAGAAGUAUUGUGCAGCAAUUGUGCUUUGUCUGCAAAGUUAUAGUGUACUAAAGUUUUACAA